GACGAACGCUGGCGGCGUGCCCAAUACAUGCAAGUUGAGCGCUGAAGGUUGGUACUUGUACCAACUGGAUGAGCAGCGAACGGGUGAGUAACGCGUGGGGAAUCUGCCUUUGAGCGGGGGACAACAUUUGGAAACGAAUGCUAAUACCGCAUAAAAACUUUAAACACAAGUUUUAAGUUUGAAAGAUGCAAUUGCAUCACUCAAAGAUGAUCCCGCGUUGUAUUAGCUAGUUGGUGAGGUAAAGGCUCACCAAGGCGAUGAUACAUAGCCGACCUGAGAGGGUGAUCGGCCACAUUGGGACUGAGACACGGCCCAAACUCCUACGGGAGGCAGCAGUAGGGAAUCUUCGGCAAUAGACGAAAGUCUGACCGAGCAACGCCGCGUGAGUGAAGAAGGUUUUCGGAUCGUAAAACUCUGUUGGUAGAGAAGAACGUUGGUGAGAGUGGAAAGCUCAUCAAGUGACGGUAACUACCCAGAAAGGGACGGCUAACUACGUG
rnacentral:rRNA from 1 species